UGAUCUAGGACAGAUCUGUAAGAACCACUGAAAAAAAUCUAAACCCUGAUGACAUUUAAAGAUUUCUUGUUUUGGAUUGCUUUUCAGCAUAUGCUGCCAGUGACUGUGGAGCUGCCAUGGAGCCAGCACCAUGAACUUGCUCGUUCUGUUUUUAUAGAGUGUUGCUGAAGACCUUCUCCCAGGCUAAAAUGAGGAUCAGUUCCAGGUUUGCAGUCAUAUCAACAGUAGGAUGGUGAUUUAUUUCUAAGCUUCUGUCAUCCAUACCAGCAUGUUGUCUGCAUGAGGCAGGGUUUGGCCAGUGGUGCAGACGUUACAGCCCCAAAAAGCCACUCCUAAAUGCUUGGAUAUCUGCAUCCAACAAGUGCUGAUACUGGGAAACGUUUGGAGCAGUGGUUAUGUUUUGAAAUUAUGAAGUGCUGCCUUUGGUACCAAGUUUAAGGACUGAGUGGAGCUCCCAGGAAAUCUUGUACAAUUCAGCUGACCUCAGCGGACCUGCCCAAGACAGCAGAAUUGGGCUGUCUGCGUCUGCCAUGUGAUGUUCUGGAGUCCCCCAGAUGAGAGGUGCUAUGGAGGCUGUAAGUGGUUGCUACCAGGCAUCAAUGGCUACAAAGCAUCAGUUAGGGGUUCGGCUGUCCUGUUUUGGGGGACACUGCAUGGCUUUUGGGAGUCUGGUGUUGGAGAAAUACACUGGAUUGAGAAGUGGUGCUUCUGCUUUUCCCAAUACGUUGCAGAGAAGACCCAGAAGACAACCUGGUCUAGUGGAAAGUGUCCCUGCC